CCUCCCGCAAAAAUCAAUGUAUAGGAGGUCUCGCCUGCCCAGUGACAAGUUAAACGGCCGCGGGUAUUUUGACCGUGCGAAGGUAGCGCAAUCACUUGUCUUUUAAAUGAAGACCUGUAUGAAUGGUAGAACGAGGGCUUAACUGUCUCCCUUUUUAAGUCAAUGAAAUUGAUCUGCCCGUGCAGAAGCGGGCAUAAUAAUACAAGACGAGAAGACCCUUUGGAGCUUAAGACUUCAGAUCAAUUAUGUCAAGAACUUAAAUCAAGUUAAACCAAAUAACACCUGAUCCUAAUCUUCAGUUGGGGCGACCGCGGGAGAAAACAAAGCUCCCAUGAGGACUGGACCCACCUCCAGAACCAAGAAAGACAUCUCUAAGUCACAGAACCUCUGACCAUAAAGAUCCGGCCACCCGCCGACCAACGGACCAAGUUACCCUAGGGAUAACAGCGCAAUCCCCUUUUAGAGUCCAUAUCGACAAGGGGGUUUACGACCUCGAUGUUGGAUCAGGACAUCCUAAUGGUGCAGCCGCUAUUAAGGGUUCGUUUGUUCAACGAUUAAAGUC
rnacentral:rRNA from 1 species